AGAACGAACGCUGGCGGCAGGCCUAACACAUGCAAGUCGAACGCCCCGCAAGGGGAGUGGCAGACGGGUGAGUAACGCGUGGGAACGUACCCUUCGGUUCGGAAUAACCCGGGGAAACUCGGGCUAAUACCGGAUACGUCCGCAAGGAGAAAGAUUUAUCGCCGAAGGAUCGGCCCGCGUCGGAUUAGCUAGUUGGUGGGGUAACGCCCACCAAGGCGACGAUCCGUAGCUGGUCUGAGAGGAUGAUCAGCCACACUGGGACUGAGACACGGCCCAGACUCCUACGGGAGGCAGCAGUGGGGAAUAUUGGACAAUGGGCGAAAGCCUGAUCCAGCCAUGCCGCGUGAGUGAAGAAGGCCCUAGGGUUGUAAAGCUCUUUCAGCGGGGAAGAUAAUGACGGUACCCGCAGAAGAAGCCCCGGCUAACUUCGUGCCAGCAGCCGC
rnacentral:rRNA from 1 species